CGCACUUUUUGGGGUCAACAGCAAUAUUUUUUAAAGAGGAGAGAAUGAAGUGGGGUGUGACAAAAUAAAUGGAAUUUCAUAAAAAGCACAAUGGACACUACUACGAGUAAAAGAAUGAAGCAAAAAAUACAUGGACGAGAGCUACCGUUAAUUUGCUUUCCUUGAAUUCAUCAACCCCGUACCGUUCAGAUUUGUAAUUCGGUGGCGCUAAGGAAGAGUUUGCCAUUUAUGGUGGAAUUUCUGGUGGAAUUUGAGUGCAAUAUAGAUUUAAAGAGUAGGGAUUUCUUCAAAAUGCCCAAAUAUACAGCCCUUUUAUGUAAAUUGAAGAAAAAGAGAACGCUUAAAUUAAGUGGGAUGUGGAUUCGAAGAUCCAUGAUUUCUUCAAAAUGCUCAAAUAUAUAGCCCUUUAGUGUAAAUUUUACAAAAAAAUGAAUGCUUAACUUGAAAGGGAUUUGGAUUUGAAAAGUAGAAAUUUCUUCCACAUUCUCAAGUUAAUAGAAAAUUCAUAGUAUUGGGAAAUUCAAAGACAAAAAAAAAGCACUUGUUGCAGUUGGAAGUUUUAGAUCGAGGGUUUACCCCAGAAAUGCAAGUUCGUUCGGUGGCUAGACAGUGAUGCUGUGGGUGUUGGAGG
rnacentral:lncRNA from 1 species